UACGUAGGGUGCGAGCGUUAAUCGGAAUUACUGGGCGUAAAGCGUGCGCAGGCGGUUCGUUGUGUCGGCGGUGAAAGCCCCGGGCUCAACCUGGGAAUGGCCGUUGAAACUGGCGGACUGGAGUGUGGCAGAGGGGGGUGGAAUUCCGCGUGUAGCAGUGAAAUGCGUAGAGAUGCGGAGGAACACCGAUGGCGAAGGCAGCCCCCUGGGCUAACACUGACGCUCAGGCACGAAAGCGUGGGGAGCAAACAGG
rnacentral:rRNA from 1 species